GAUCCUGGCUCAGGAUGAACGCUGGCGGCGUGCUUAACACAUGCAAGUCGAACGGAGAUGCUAUGUGAGCGGAAGAUGCUUGCAUCCAACAAUCUUAUAGCAUCUUAGUGGCGGACGGGUGAGUAACGCGUGGGUAACCUGCCUUAUACCGGGGGAUAACACUUAGAAAUAGGUGCUAAUACCGCAUAAGCGCACGAUGCCGCAUGGCAAAGUGUGAAAAACUCCGGUGGUAUAAGAUGGACCCGCGUCUGAUUAGCUUGUUGGCGGGGUAACGGCCCACCAAGGCGACGAUUGGUAGCCGGACUGAGAGGUUGAACGGCCACAUUGGGACUGAGAUACGGCCCAGACUCCUACGGGAGGCAGCAGUGGGGAAUAUUGCACAAUGGGGGGAACCCUGAUGCAGCGACGCCGCGUGGAGGAAGAAGGUCUUCGGAUUGUAAACUCCUGUUGUUAGGGACGAUAAUGACGGUACCUAACAAGGAAGCACCGGCUAACUACGUG
rnacentral:rRNA from 1 species